rnacentral:snRNA from 1 species
UGAAAAGUAAAUUGGUGCGUAUACCUUACCAAAAGGAUGCAUCAAUCGAUAUCGUCGU